rnacentral:rRNA from 1 species
ACAUUUGGUAAAGGAUGUCAGGCCACCUGGUCCCAGCAGACGCCAGAGAACAACCACAUUCGCUGGUGCUGGAACAAGGCUGUUGAGGGUGAAGCCUGGUGCCAGAUGUG